CGGCACGCCUAACACAUGCAAGUCGAACGCAGUAGCAAUACUGAGUGGCAAACGGGUGAGUAUAAUGUGGGAAUCUGCCUUUUGGUUUGGAAUAACACGGGGAAACUUGUGCUAAUACCGAAUAAGCCCUUACGGGGAAAGUUUUAACGCCGAAAGAUGAGCCCGCACUUGAUUAGCUAGUUGGUAAGGUAAAAGCUUACCAAGGCAAUGAUCAAUAGCUGUUCUUAGAGGAAGACCAGCCACAUUGGGACUGAGACACGGCCCAGACUCCUACGGGAGGCAGCAGUGGGGAAUCUUGCACAAUGGGGGAAACCCUGAUGCAGCGAUGCCGCGUGAGUGAAGAAGGCCUUUGGGUUGUAAAACUCUUUCGUCGGGGAAGAAAAUGACUGUACCCGAAUAAGAAGGUCCGGCUAACUUCGUGCCAGCAGCCGCGGUAAUACGAAGGGACCUAGCGUAGUUCGGAAUUACUGGGCUUAAAGAGCUCGUAGGUGGUUAAAAAAGUUGAUGGUGAAAUCCCAAGGCUCAACCUUGGAACUGCCAUCAAAACUUUUUAGCUAGAGUGUGAUAGAGGUAAGUGGAAUUUCUAGUGUAGAGGUGAAAUUCGUAGAUAUUAGAAAGAACACCAAAUGCGAAGGCAACUUACUGGGUCACUACUGACACUGAGGAGCGAAAGCAUGGGUAGCGAAGAGGAUUAGAUACCCUCGUAGUCCAUGCCGUAAACGAUGUGUGCUAGACGUUGGAAAUAUAUUUUUCAGUGUCGCAGCGAAAGCAUUAAGCACACCGCCUGGGGAGUACGACC
rnacentral:rRNA from 1 species